GCUUGAAAGCCUGCCCUGAAUCCUCAUCUAUUGAUGGAGAUGGUGUCAUCUUGCCUUGAUUGUAUCCAGAAGCUUCAUCCCCAAGAUAAAGGAUGGACAUCUCUCAGAUGACCAGCUUCUUUUGCUCGACUCUAGAGAAGGUUGCUUUCUGCAUUGUGGCAACUGCCCUCUGUCUACAUGAUUAGACUCGUUGGUUGCAGUGCUUUCUGGAGUAAUGAAGGGAUCCAGUGCACAGGGUUUAACUUACUAGGCACAAUCUGUAAGCCAACUCUGCCUGAAUGGGUCCCCUGUUUUUUCUCUUCUGCUCUUGUUGAACCAUAUCUCUGUUCCUUGUGCUCCUGGGAAUUUCUUGCUCUGGGGAAACUCUCUCAAGGACUAACAAUCAGAGCUGUCUGGUUGACAAGGGACGUUAUGGUUGCAAGAAGACCCUGAAGCAAGGAUUCUACAUCAAAGAUUCAGGGGCAAUCUGAGUUUGCAUUUAAGAUCCUUCUGCCU
rnacentral:lncRNA from 1 species